UGACUGUUAAGAGAUUGCUUAGAAGAUUGUUAGGACAAGUAAAUGGGGGAUAUAAAAUAGCAAACAAGGCAUGAUUAUAUAAAAUUGCUAAUUCUUUUCUCUCUUCUUCUUCUUACGAGGUUGCUACCGUCGAAAUAGCGGAGUUCUUUCCUGCGUGUUCAAUUAUUGUUCUUGUCUUCUUAAUUUCUAAUGUUUGGUGCUUUCAUUGACCUUCCGCCAUGGUAGAGGGUACCCGUUUCAAACGAAUUGAUGAAUCUAUCAAGCUUCUCAGGGAUUCAUCAGUAGUGCAUGGAGAGCGUUUGGACUUCCUUCAAUCCAGUGUUAUGGAAUAACAGAAAGCCAUGUCUGAACUAAUUCUUUGACUUACUACGAUGGAUGGGUGAUUAAAGCAAGAUCUCCACAUGACCACUUCGUCUCCUUCGCAAGAUUUUUAUUCUGAUUAUCCCAAUGAUCAACAUUCGCCUGGAUCUCAAGUUUCUUCGCGGCUUAAUCAAAUCCAGACACGCACGAUACAUAUGGAUUUUCCUCUGUUUAAUGGUGAGGAUCCGCUAGGUUGGAUCUUCAAGGCAGAACGAUUCUUUGAUUAUCACCAUACUGCAAAUGAUCAAAGACUCCUUAUAUCUUCGUUCCAUACGGAUGGCAAGGCGUUAUAAUGGUUUCAAUCGAUGAGCCGCAACAGCCAAUUCGGCACUUGGCCGACGAUCACAAAGGCUUUGGAACUCCAUUUUGGUUCGUCAAAAUUUGAAGACUACCAAGGUGCUCUAGCUAAAUUGAUGCAGACAUCGUUGGUUUCAAAGUACCAGUCGUAGUUUAAAGCCCUGGCCAAUCGUACAAUCGAUAUUUCACCCUUCUUCUUGACCAGUUGUUUCGUCUCUGUUUGGCGAUCAGACAUCCGAUGUGAGGUAUUAGCUUUUAGGCCUACAUCUAUGGCCCAAGCUAUUGGAUUAGCAUGAUUACAGGAGGCCAAGAUUCAAGAAUCUAGGCAUUCAUUCUUGAAACCCAAUCAGGUCAAAAGUCCAAUUCUUCCUAGCCCUAACCCCAAUUUGCUGAUUAGCUCACAACCUCAUCGCAUUCCUUUAAGAUGCCUUUCUCCGGCUGAGAUGCAAGUUCGAAGAGACAAAGGUCUGUGUUACAACUGCGAUGAGAAAUUCGCACCAGGUCAUCGGUACAAAUCUUGUCAAUUUUUCUUGCUCGCUGGUGAGGAUGACAAUGAGUUACAGUUGUAAGAUUCAAGGAUCAAUGAACUCCAUGGUGCCAGGUUCUUUUCCAAACUAGAUCUUUGUGCUGGCUAUCACCAAAUCAGAAUUCGGUCAUCAGAUAUCCAUAAGACAGCAUUUUGCACCCACGAUGGCCAUUUUGAAUUUCUGGUCGUGCCGUUUGGUCUCACAAACGCUCCUUCCACCUUCCAAGCCACUAUAAAUUCUCUGUUUCGACCAUUCUUAAGUAAGUUUGCACUUUUUUUUUUUUUUAGGAUGUGCUGGUCUACAGUAAGUUCUGGACUGUCCAUCUGACCCAUUUAAAAGAAGUCUUGCAUGUUUUGCACCACCAUGUAUUCUAUGCUAAAAGAUGCAAGUGUUCUUUUGGACAAUCAUCGAUUUAGUACUUAGGCCAUAUGGUUUCAGCUCAAGGGGUCGAAAUGGAUAAGAAUAAAAUUUUUGCAAUUUUAGAAUGGCCUAUUCCUCGAUCACAUAAAGCCUUGUGGGAUGUUAGGUCUAAUUGGUUACUACAGGCCUUUUGUGAGAAACUAUGCCAGCAUUGCUGCUCCCUUGACAGAACUUCUUAAGAAAGGUGCUUUUACUUGGUCUACUACAGCUCAAGAGGCCUUUGAAAAGUUACAGAAGGCCAUGACGAAAGUUCUAGUUUUGGCUCUGCCAAAUUUUUCGAUACCAUUUAUUGUUGAAAUUGAUGCUUCUGGGUUUGGUAUUGGUGUUGUACUAUCACAAUACAACCACCCCAUUGCUUUCUUUAGCAGGAAAGUAUCCAAUAAAAUGCAAGCAGCUUCCACCUUUGUUCUUGAAAUGUAUACUAUUACAGGAGGCUGUUGUUAAGUGGCGUCAAUAUUUGCUUGGUAAAAAAUUUUAUAUUCGAACUGAUCAACGAAGUUUGAAAGGGUUAACUGAGCAUACAAUCCAAACUUCGGAAUAACAACAGUGGCUCUCGAAACUUUUGGGCUUUGUUUUUGAGAUCUCAUAUAGACCCGGCAAAGAAAAUGUGGUGGUCGAUGCGCUCUCUCGUGCACCUUUGGAGUUUAUGGGCUUCCUUGCAUUUUCAACUCCAUCAUUUGAUUUUUGGCUCAGUCACGUUCAGAAGUCCUCUCAAGCUUUGAACUUCAAGAUAUUUGCAUUGGCUUGGCAAGUGACCCCCCUUCUUAUUGUGGGUAUUUUCUCCGUGAUGGAUUACUAUACUAUAAAAAUCGAUUGGUGCUAGCAGCUGAUUCCUCCCUCCGCGAUAUGUUACUUCAAGAAUUUCAUUCUUCUCCUAUAGGGAGAUUUCAUCGUUGAACACAUCUCUAGUGGGUCUCUUACAGCCUCUGCCCAUUCCAGAGCGUGUUUGGGAAGAUUUUGCUAUGGAUUUCAUAACGGGUCUUCCGAAUUCAAGUGGUAAGACUCUGAUUUUUGUGGUUGUCGAUCGAUUGACCAAAUAUGGUCAUUUCAGUGCUCUGCCUAGUAAUUUCACUAGUCAUAGAGUGGCAGCAGUGUUUGCAUCCGAUAUUAUGCGGCUUCAUGGUCUCCCAUGCUCCAUUGUCAGUGAUAGGGAUCCAUAGUUUCUUAGUACCUUUUGGAAAGAGUUAUUCAGACUUCAAGACACCACACUUUCCAUAAGUAGUGCCUAUCACCCCCAGUCCGAUGGCCAGACCGGGGUGUUAAAUCGCUAUUUAGAAAUGUAUUUGAGGAGUUCUGUGUUAGAUGAACCCAAUCAAUGGGUUAAAUUUUUGUCGUGGGCUGAUUAUUGGUAUAAUACGUCUUUCCAUACGGUAGCGGGCAUGACACCUUUUCAAGUUUUGUAUAGUCGCUCCCCACCUACUAUUGUACACUACAUUCUGGGUUCAUCCCUCAAUGAGGUUGUCGACCAAGAUCUUCAAACUAGAGAUGGUGUUUUUCAACGGCUCAAACUCAACCUUACUUCUGCUCAAACGCGGAUGAAAAAUCAGGCGGAUAAACAAAGGGUGGACAAACAAUUUGGGCCUGGUGAUUGGGUAUUGUAAAACUGCAGCCUUAUCGCCAACAACCUAUUGCUUUGUAGCUCAAUCAAAAACUUGUGCGACACUUUUUUGGGCCUUUUGAACUAUAUAAACUUGAGUUGCUAGAGAUUGUGCAUAUUCAUCCUAUAUUUCACAUUUCCAUCCUCAAGAAAUAAUUGGGUAAUCCGGUGAAUCAAGUGGUUCCAUUACCACUUGUGCAACCUGCUGAUGACAUUGUUGCUCAACCGAUUGCUGUUAUGAACUACCUUCAUGUUCAGUGGUAGGGCAAUUGGGUUCUUCAGACAUUGGUACAGUGGGAGGGAUGUGUAAUAACAGUCUUAAUAAAAGCUUGUCUUAGUUA